CAAAAUUUGACGUUUGUGAAAAAGCGUAAACAAACAGCUAUUUGGCGCAGUUGUGACCCAUUGUUAUGAUAAUAAUGCUAAAAUGCAUGAUUCUAACUGAUGUAUGUACCUAGUUAGUGCUUCUUAAACAAAAUAACGAUGAUAUUCAGAUGUUGGAGCUUUUUGUCGCUCUUGUCUCCGUGGCCACGCGCUAAAUGGUACGAUGGGUCCGUGGCGUUUGAUAUUCGAAAAAAAAACUGAUGGGCAAGGAUGGCUAGCAGCAGCAGGAUUACAUGAGCAAGGACAUGAAAAAGUGGCUGAAGAUGGAGCAGCUCGAGCGACUUGGAGGAGGAGGGGCGAGCAGACGGUGAGGAUGGAACUGCGCUCGAGGAUCUGGCGGUAGAGUUUAACGGCCAGCUGGGCCAGAUCGUGAUUGAUAGUACGGACGAGAUGAUAUUGAUGUCGGAAGCGAGCACGUGGAAUAGCUGGAGAAGGUAGACCCCAACGACCUGUCGACGGACGACGAUGCAGAUGGAGCGAAGCGGAAUCCGUACAUGCUGCACACGGCGUUCAACAUGAGAUGAAUCUGCACGUGAAGUUCUACGCGUCGGACGUGAUCAUCGCGUCGCCGCUCGGGACUACGACUACUCAUCGCCGAACUGGCGGAGGUACGGAGUUCGAGAAACCCAGAGUCGGGAGUCGUGUGGGGUUAUUCGGAGUCAUCCGGUGACGUCAUCAUUCGGAGUUGUCCGGAGUCGUUCCGGAGUAUAUGGUCUAUAGUCUAGUAAAUCUAAUAAAUAUGAAUCUAUUUUCUCUAAGACUAGUAGGCUUUGAGUCGAUCCAAGUCUGCAGGAAGGAGACGGAGUCGGAGAUGAAAUGCCUGACCACAAAAACAUAGCCCACUUACGAACGGCUCUAAUCCUGAUGACUUCAGACUAGUGAUAGGAGCUUGGAAUCGGACCUACUUAAUUCCGAUUCAGUGUUGGGAAUAAAUUCCGUAGGCAAUUCCGAUGCCGGAAUCGAUUCCGAUUUCGGAGUCGAUCCCGAAGUUGGUUCUGGAGCCGUUUCUGGAGUUGGUUCCGGAGCCGAUUCCGGAGUUGGUUUCAGAGCCGAUUCCGGAGUUGAGUCCAGAGCCGAUUCCGGGAUCGACUCCGGAAUCGAUUCCAGGAUCGGAAUCGGCUCCGAAAUCAGAAUCGUCUCCGGAAUCGGCAUCAACCUGGGAAUCGCAAUUUGCUCCGGUAACGGAACCAGGCUUGGCUCCAGGAAUGGAGUUAGCUCCGGGAUGAGAAUUAGUUUUUGAAUUGAAAUAAAAAGUGUGUAGCGUCAUGUA